UCGGGAAUUUUGGGCAAUGGGCGAAAGCCUGACCCAGCAACGCCGCGUGAGGGAUGAAGUAUUUCGGUAUGUAAACCUCGAAAGAAUGGGAAGAAUAAAUGACGGUACCAUUUAUAAGCUCCGGCUAACUACGUACCAGCAGCCGCGGUAAUACGUAGGGAGCAAGCGUUGUUCGGAUUUACUGGGCGUAAAGGGCGCGUAGGCGGCGCGGUAAGUCACUUGUGAAAUCUCUGAGCUUAACUCAGAACGGCCAAGUGAUACUGCUGUGCUAGAGUGCGGAAGAGGCCACCGCAAUUCUUGGUGUAGCGGUGAAAUGCGUAGAUAUCAAGAGGAACACCUGAGGCGAAGGCGGGUUGCUGGGCCGACACUGACGCUGAUGCGCGAAAGCCAGGGGAGCAAACG
rnacentral:rRNA from 1 species